GGGGACGACCUGGCUUCGACGUGGGUAGGAAACUUGAGGUGCAUGCCGAGGGGCAAAAUACCUCGUAAAAAUUAGUUGCAAAACUUAUAGUUGCCAACGACGACAACUACGCACUAGCCGCUUAGGCGGUUAGCCUCUGACUGGAGCCGUGCCUGUGCGUCCAGCGUCCCUCGGGACACUUCAGGGGUCAUAUCUCACGGGAUCGUGAAAAGGCAUGUCCGGGGCCAAUUCACUAAAACCUAACGGAAUCGCCACUUUCGUACCAUGGCCAUUGGGGACAGAGCGGUUAAACCAAAUAAUGGUUCUAAGCAUGUAGAUCCAAAAGCGGAGUGCUUGCGGACGCGGGUUCGAUUCCCGCCGUCUCCACCA
rnacentral:tmRNA from 1 species